rnacentral:rRNA from 1 species
AAAUUGAAGAGUUUGAUCAUGGCUCAGAUUGAACGCUGGCGGCAGGCCUAACACAUGCAAGUCGAACGGUAACAGGAAACAGCUUGCUGUUUCGCUGACGAGUGGCGGACGGGUGAGUAAUGUCUGGGAAACUGCCUGAUGGAGGGGGAUAACUACUGGAAACGGUAGCUAAUACCGCAUAAUGUCGCAAGACCAAAGAGGGGGACCUUCGGGCCUCUUGCCAUCGGAUGUGCCCAGAUGGGAUUAGCUAGUAGGUGGGGUAACGGCUCACCUAGGCGACGAUCCCUAGCUGGUCUGAGAGGAUGACCAGCCACACUGGAACUGAGACACGGUCCAGACUCCUACGGGA